UUUGUUUACGGGUUAGCUAUUUUAGGCCCUGCUCAUGCGAAUAUUUUAAUAGUUAAGUGGGUCGGUGACACUAGCUGUCAGUAGCAGAAGAGAUGCCUUAAAUAAUAACUGACAUACCCCUUUUUAAUUCUCGUUUAAAUUCAAAUGCUGUCAAUUUUGAGGCUACCAGAAGGUAAUUUUAACCCACAAAAAAACGCCCAGUUUUUGCUUCGCUUCUUCUUUCAAGAUCUCAUUGAUCUGUAGCCUGUCAGCAAGAUAAACCGCUUACUUCAGUCGCGCGACCAACAAUAAACUGAAUUAACAAUUUCCUUCAAAGUUCUAAAGUCCCUUGAACUAUUUCCUCUUCCAAACAGUUGCUUUUGAAAAAAUAAGCGUGAAGUUGUGAAAGGUGAAUCUAAAGUGACUUUGAAAUGAAUGCAAGUUCCGUUGUUGUCGUUACUUUUCUUCUCCCGAGAGUAUCUCACAAUCAACACACCUAACCAUUAAAGUUAUCAGCUGAACACGGUGAUGAAAUUUCGUCAGGUUCAUCAUUUUCGUACGGAAACAGCCUUUCACGCGAAACCGUUACGCGCUAACCAGACAAGACAAUUCGCAAACAUUGCGAGUUUCCUUUCUUUUCAAAAAGAGUUUUGGUUACCACGUCAAACGGGAGUGACAUUCACUUCUAAUAUUCAUUCGACUUAUUCAAAUUAGUGGAGCAAACAUUACUAAGAGGAGAAGUAGGCCACUGAAAACAUUUCAGCCGCGUAGCUUUUCGUUCGCGUGUUGAAAGAGCUGUUGAUUGCGUUGAGCGAGGAAAACGUCGUUGAAUUGUUCUUGAUCCAUGGUUGAACCCCCCUAAAAUGGGCCACUGACCAUUUUGACUAGAAGGCGAGAAUUCUUUCCUUAGCAGUCAACUAUAGUUCCACUGUUAGACCAAGAAGACAAAAAGAGCCCCUCAGUAAAGCAAAUUCGUGUCCAUGAAACCUGUCGUUCCUGGAGAUGUCAGCAGUCAUCAAUUUCGUUGCAGAUGGACAAUCGCUCAAACGACAGAACAACCAUGUUUUUAGCACUUCUCUUUAGAAAUACCCCACAUGAUUCGUAUCACUAGUUUAUUUAGAUUUCAGGUCAUAAUCUUCGAUAUAACUCAACCGCAGAGUUAAUAAUGUGUUCGUAUUUGAAAAUGAAACCUUUUUGUGUGGUUCAAGUGUUUCAGAAUAAGUCACCUAGAUGGUUGCACCUGCUCUUGACUUUUCAUGCGACUAGCUCGAGACAAAAGGUUAAAAAUGAUUGCAAAGCCAGUUAACGAACAAAAAUUUACACAAUUUUGGUCAACUUCACAUCUAAUUUCUACAGGGCUUAAUAUGAAAAUUUUGAACAAAAGCUUUAGUUAAACGUCUAUGAUUGUUUAGUUGAUUUAUAUCAUUAUCGUGUUUUGAAAACACUGAACUGUAAGACUAAAAAGAAGAGGACCACUGCUUCCUCUACGAAUUAAUUAUGGAUAAACAACUUCUCCGUGUUUUCAGCUCUAUAUUUUUGUGUUCAAAACGAAUGAAUUGUACUUUCCAGUUAUUUUAGAAGAUAGAAGUUUUAACCUUCCAAUAUUCUUAAAUAUUCCAACUAUAGUUGCAGAGAAUAGUGGUCUUUCACUCAGUUACAAGAUUUUUCGAAAUGCUUUACUUUUGCAGAAUCCCUUAGCACUACGAAGGAUCUGUAGAGCAAUUUCUUUUUUACUCCUAAUUACCAAAGCUUUGUUUUGUACAGUUUAACACAAACUCCCGCAGGUCCAAACUAUUUAGCACCUGCUCCACCCUGUGAAAUCCACCUCAAAGGUUGGUAUGGGAAAAUAUGGAACAAUUUGGAAAUUUAAAGACCGGGUUUUGAUAAAUAAAUUUUUUAAAGAGUCGCUAUCCUUUUUCGUCGAUUAUCGUGUCUUAUAGUAUUUCAAAUAAUGACCCGAUAAUUCUAAAUAUUUUAUAGAAGAUCUUCUCAUUUAUCAAAUAUGCGUUCUGAGUACAUUUUGAAUCAUGAAAGCUAGAUUUUUUAGCCUACAGAACCCAACAAGCAUAAACGGAAGCCAGUUCUAAGCUUCUACAAACAAAGGCUUUGUUUAAUAGUAUAACCAUUUAAUUAACCAAUUAGAUAAUUAAACUAAAUGUUUUGUUUUGAGGUAAUUAAUAAAAUAGGUUCACAUUGUUGUGUCUCUGCAAAA